rnacentral:rRNA from 1 species
CCUACGGGAGGCAGCAGUGAGGAAUAUUGGUCAAUGGGCGCGAGCCUGAACCAGCCAAGUCGCGUGAGGGAAGACGGUCCUAUGGAUUGUACACCUCUUUUGUCGGGGAGCAAAAGACGCCACGCGUGGCGUUCCGAGAGUACCCGAAGAAAAAGCAUCGGCUAACUCCGUGCCAGCAGCCGCGGUAAUACGGAGGAUGCGAGCGUUAGCCGGAUUUAUUGGGUUUAAAGGGUGCGCAGGCGGAAGAUCAAGUCAGCGGUAAAAUUGAGAGGCUCAACCUCUUCGAGCCGUUGAAACUGGUUUUCUUGAGUGAGUGAGAAGUAUGCGGAAUGCGUGGUGUAGCGGUGAAAUGCAUAGACAUCACGCAGAACUCCGAUUGCGAAGGCAGCAUACCGGCGCUCAACUGACGCUCAUGCACGAAAGUGUGGGUAGCGAACAGGAUUAGAUACCCGUGUAGUC